UGACCCGGGCAACGCCCGGGUUUUACCCGAUUAAAUGCUUUUAUUCAAAUAAUCGAACCCGGGCCGCCCGCGUGGCAGGCGAGCAUUCUACCACUGAACCACCGAUGGUU